GAAUCCUGUAUAUGGCAUGGACUACCGUUACUCUGUGAUACACUCUCGACGAGUCGAGUUGUUUGGGAAUGCAGCUCCAAAUGGGUGGUAAAUGCCAUCUAAAGCUAAAUAUUGGCGAGAGACCGAUAGCGAGCAAGUACCGUGAGGGAAAGAUGAAAAGCACUUUGGAAAGAGAGUGAAACAGUACGUGAAAUUGUUGAAAGGGAAACGCUUGAAGUCAGUCGCGCCGUUCGGGAUUCAGCCUUGCUUCUGCUCGGUUUACUUCCCGUUGGGUGGGUCAACAUCAGUUUUGGUCGGAGGAGAAAGGCUUGGGGAAGGUGGCAGCAUUCGUGCUGUGUUAUAGCCCCUUGUUGUAUACUUCGACUGGGACUGAGGACCGCAGCACGCCUUUGGCCGGGGUUCGCCCACGUACGUGCUUAGGAUGUUGGCAUAAUGGCUUUAAGCGACCCGUCUUGAAACACGGACCAAGGAGUCUAACAUGUGCGCGAGUGUUUGAGUGUUAAACUCAGACGCGAAAUGAAAGUGAAAAGUUGGGAACACUCAUGUGUGCACCGACGCCCGGAGCUGACCUUCUGUGACGCAUCUGCGGUAGAGCGUAUAUGUUGGGACCCGAAAGAUGGUGAACUAUGCCUGAAUAGGGUGAAGCCAGAGGAAACUCUGGUGGAGGCUCGUAGCGAUUCUGACGUGCAAAUCGAUCGUCAAAUUUGGGUAUAGGGGCGAAAGACUAAUCGAACCAUCUAGUAGCUGGUUCCUGCC
rnacentral:rRNA from 2 species